UCAGGCCUAACACAUGCAAGUCGAACGGGUGUAGCAAUACAUCAGUGGCAGACGGGUGAGUAACACGUGGGAACCUUCCUAGGGGUACGGAACAACUCAGGGAAACUUGAGCCAAUACCGUAUACGUCCGUGAGGAGAAAGAUUUAUCGCCCUUAGACGGGCCCGCGUCGGAUUAGCUAGUUGGUGGGGUAACGGCCUACCAAGGCGACGAUCCGUAGCUGAUCUUAGAGGAUGAUCAGCCACACUGGGACUGAGACACGGCCCAGACUCCUACGGGAGGCAGCAGUGGGGAAUCUUGGACAAUGGGCGCAAGCCUGAUCCAGCCAUGCCGCGUGAGUGAAGAAGGUCUUCGGAUCGUAAAGCUCUUUGCCAGGGACG
rnacentral:rRNA from 1 species